ACCGUACUCCUACGGGAGGCAGCAGUGGGGAAUAUUGGGCAAUGGACGCAAGUCUGACCCAGCAACGCCGCGUGAAGGAAGAAGGCUUUCGGGUUGUAAACUUCUUUUAAGGGGGAAGAGCAGAAGACGGUACCCCUUGAAUAAGCCACGGCUAACUACGUGCCAGCAGCCGCGGUAAUACGUAGGUGGCAAGCGUUGUCCGGAUUUACUGGGUGUAAAGGGCGUGCAGCCGGGAAUGCAAGUCAGAUGUGAAAUCUGGAGGCUCAACCUCCAAACUGCAUUUGAAACUGUGUUUCUUGAGUGUCGGAGAGGUAAUCGGAAUUCCUUGUGUAGCGGUGAAAUGCGUAGAUAUAAGGAAGAACACCAGUGGCGAAGGCGGAUUACUGGACGAUAACUGACGGUGAGGCGCGAAAGCGUGGGGAGCAAACAGGAUUAGAAACCCCAGUAGUCCUUGAC
rnacentral:rRNA from 1 species